rnacentral:misc_RNA from 1 species
AAAAUAAUCCUACCCUUUGUGAAUUUUGUUUGUUUGAAUAAUUUUUUUUUUUAAAAAAUUAUUGGAGUCUUUCCCUUUAGAGUUUGCUUUUGAGUUUGUAAAAGAAUUCGAAAACAUCUAAAGGGGAUGGUCAAUAAUUUUUUUGAAAAAAGACAUUUUUUAAAAUUAAACUUUUUGUAUUCAUUUGUCUAAAAAUUAUUUUUAUAAUAUAAAAACAACUUUUGACAAUGGAUCUCUUGGUUCUCGCAACGAUGAAGAACGCAGCAAAAUGCGAUAAGUAGUGUGAAUUGCAGAAUACGUGAAUCAUCGAAUCUUUGAACGCAUACUGCACUUUUUUAGUUUACUAAAAAGUAUGUCUGUUUGAGUAUCAGUAAAAUAUUCUCAUAAAAAUCAUUGUGUAUUUUUAUGGUUAUGAGUGUUUUACAACGAUACAAGUUGUUUCACUUUAAAUUUUUUUUUAAUAUUGAAAUUUUUCUAAUUUUAAUAAUUAAAAUUGGAUAAAAUUUUCCCGUCAAAAGGAAUAACCUAAACAAUUUUAAAUGAUUAAUUUUAGCAAAAUUUUCGAAAAAAGGAAAAUUUUUAUUAAAAUAACUUGAUCUCAAAUCAGAUAAGAGUACCCGCUGAACUUAGCAUAUCAAUAAGCGGAGGAAAAGAAACUAACAAGGAUUCCCUUAGUAACGGCGAGUGAAGCGGGAAGAGCUCAAAUUUGAAAUCUUCAAGGUUUUACCUUGACGAAUUGUAGUUUAAAGAAGUGUUUUCUGCUGAAGUUUUGGUAAAAGUUCUUUGGAAUAGGACAUCAUAGAGGGUGAGAAUCCCGUAUUUGACCAUUAUUUUCAGCUUUGUGAUACACUUUCAAAGAGUCGGAUUGUUUGGGAAUGCAGUCCAAAAUGGGUGGUAAAUUUCAUCUAAAGCUAAAUAUUGGCGAGAGACCGAUAGCGAACAAGUACCGUGAGGGAAAGAUGAAAAGAACUUUGAAAAGAGAGUUAAACAGUACGUGAAAUUGUCAAAAGGGAAGCGUUUGACACCAGUGUUGUUUUCUCGAAAAUCAAUUAAAAAUGGCUCGAUUUUGUAUUGCUGAGACCUUAAAAGCUCACUGUGCAUUUUUCGUGUCUUUUUAAUGCACUUUUCGUUUAACAAGUCAACAUCAGUUUCUUUUGUUGUAAAAGGGUCAUUGGAAGGUGGCUUUCUUUUCGGAGAAAGUGUUUAUAGCCUUUGGCCUCUGCAAUCGGAGAGACAGAGGUCUGCAGCGUAGACUCUUCGGGGUUAGAUACAUUUGUGCUAAGUUAUAGUUUUUAUAGACAACUUGUUGACUAUAAUUAGUCUUGUAGCUUACUCGCUUAUGCUAUUU